UGCUUUCUGACUCCCUCCGGACUCUCCGCCUGCGCAGGAAGCGAUUUGGGGGUAUUGUGAAUUCCGAGGGCCCCACACUUAAGAGGUUGUACUCUCACCUGUCUACCUGGACUCCAAUUUCCAUAUUUCCAGUCACUUCAGGACUGAGAGAUGGAUGAUAAACCCUGUCAUAGUGGAGCAAGUUCAGGUGUUUAACCGCUGUUAUGUGGGAUCUGCCUUUCUCCCUCUUCUUUCUUACUUCCGUAAGUAUACAUAUGCAGAGAGUGAAAAAUAACCUUGAGAGAGGCCAUCCCUCUGACUCCAGAAUCUCUCUCUGUCACCCAGGCUGGAGUGCAGUGGUGUGAUUUCGGCUCACUGUACCCUCCGCCUCCCUGGCUCAAGCGAUUCUCCUGCCUCAGCCUCCCGAGUAGCUGGGAUUACAGAGGUCGUUGCCUUCCAACAGGAGUGGUCAUUUCCAAUCAGACACCUAAGAACUACUAAUGAGCAAUGAUGGAGGCACAUUCUAGAUGGAGGCCCAUUCUAGAAACCGUUGAAACCGAGUGUUGCUUUGGACAGCUGUUUCAUGCUGUUGGGAUCUGACUGUAAGGAAGAUAGGAUUGGAGAACCAGGUUUAGAAGAGAAAAGGCAGUGCCAGAAGUUUUUGAUUGGAGGAAACUGCAGGGCAGUGUUGCACAAGAACCGUUGCUGGACUGCAUCAUCGCUUACCCAACAUGACUCAGCCACAGUAUUGCCACUGACUCAUGGAGCUCCUAGUAGAGGAGAAUUAGUGUCACCAGUCGACUGGAAAACCAAUCCACAUGAAGCCAGGAAGAGAAAUGAGGCUGCUGUUGCUGAAUCCAUAGCUGCCCUUAAUGAUGCAGGCUAGGAAAGACGGCCCAUUCUGGGGGAGAUAAGUGAUGAAACUAUAUGUUUUCCAAGGACACAGUGCUAGUAUGAAUGAAUAAUAAUGGGGUUGUCUAUGAAGAGGAGAGAAUGAAAAAGCUCAGCUUACCAAGAUGAAUGCUCCUCUG